rnacentral:lncRNA from 1 species
GGCUCUCUGCCCCCUCCCCGCGCCUCUCCGCCCCGCCCGGCCGGUGCCGCUGUGUCCGGGGCCGCGGGUCCCUCAGCCGCCGCCACCGCCGCCGCCGCCGCGAUCCGGGACAACCAGAGUCACCCGGAAGACGCGGACACUGGACUGCCAGGCCCUCGGAUCCGGAUUCCGCGCUUGUGUGGAGUCUGGAGCCGGAAACUCCAGUAUGAUUAUGAAAGCCCUCAAGUGAGACCAGCUCAGGUAAAGAGGAUUAUGCUCAACAAGCAAGAACAAACCUUCACCUUUCUACAAUCCUUAGUACAGCAUUAUACAGUCUAUUGCCUGCCAUCUCUGAUUUCCUAUAGUGGGAACAACUUCAUUAAAAAAAAAAAAAAAAAAAA